UCAGCUCAGUACUGCUGCUGCUUCUCUAAGCCCCACCCACCCACAGAGCGAGGCGCGACGAUAUGAUAAGACAGGCAAGCACGGAUAUAGCCCCGCCCUAAGGAACGGUGAACUGACUCUUCAGCCAAUCAAAAGAACUGAACGGACUGAACGGAUCUUUUAGGGGGGGUGACCUCGUUCAUUUUGUUCACCAAAAAGAACUAGUUCUUUUGAUCCGUUCAUUCAUGACCGACACACUACUAUCAGCCAAUCACCACGAAUCUUCAGUUUUAUCCAAAGUAACAUUUAAAUAUCCAUCGAGUAGUUGACAACAUGACUCCAAAUUACAAACCCUAUAAAUGUGUAGAGUUUCUUUGUCACAGACACUGUGAUCAGCUUAGUCCCUGUUGUUGCUCUUGCAAAUAGACCCUGGCUAGCACCACUUGGUGCCACUAGUUCUUGGUGUAGUGUUUCCUACCAGGAUUUGCUUCUCUUAACUGUAAUCUGAACACAUUGUUUGUCCUCAGACUAAUUUAAUAAUCUUUAGACUAUUUUUGUAGCUGCUGUGUAGCUUUUUUCAGUCUGAAGAAACUCACUGUGCAGGGUGGUCGUCUAGGCAAUAUUGCAUAACGAGGCUAUUUUGGUUUAACAAUAUUUGAUAAAAUCCUCUCUCUAGGAUCAGUGCUGACUUUUUUCUCUGUGAAUUGAUAUCCCCUGAAGGAGAAGCUGAACCAAGUGGAAUAAUGAGACUUUUUAACCUUCAUAAUGUUACUUUAAAUGGAUUUAAAAAGAGGAUCUAAACACAGAUCAAUGGCACAGUGGGUAAAAAGAGGCCUAGAAGCCCUGUCUCCUACAGGCUUCAUCGAUAACAACACCAGGAAAACAAAGGAGAGGACAAAGACAGGGAUAUUUACUUCUUUUUGAGAGCUCAACAGCUACAAGAAGACAGCUGCCAAGAGCACAGUCUGAUGUUCAAAUACUAAAGACGUGAUAUUGGAUUUACUCUGACUGAAGUCAAUGAAAACUAGCAUCAGCAUAGUCCCUUUUUUUCCUGAAGCUGCUUUACACCUCAGAAAUCACAGGUACUGCUUACUAGGAAUGACUUCUUCAUGGACUGAGAGCUGACUAAUAUAUGUGGAGACACCUUUCUGAGGUGGUGAGGUUGUGAUAAAGUUGGAUCGGGACUGUGAUAUUCGACACCGGGGUUCACAUCCUGAGCUCUACAUUCAAGUUUAGGCAGUAAGGAAACUUCAGUAGAAGUUGGUAAAGAUAAGAUUUUAGUUAAACACAAAGAAAGGAAACAUCACAGGUACCUCUUUUUAAUUCUCUGUGAACUUGUUGAAUUUUUGACUGUGGACAGAAACUGUGACCGUGAACUCAAACAACCAUGAACUUUGUUAAUUUGGAUUUCAGUCAUUCUCGAGCUGUGUUCAGUGCAAAAGCAAAAUUGUUUUUUAAGCCAUCACACACAAAUUUAACUGCAGAUCAAACAGUUUUCAUUGUUGAAUUUCAUCUGUGAAUUUUCGUUUUUUAAUAAAAAUCACCCAAAACUAGGCCUUGGCACAGCUUGGUUUAUUUCGAAAUCACUUUUUUGUAGCUUACUGAGUUAGGCACUCAUAUUGAUGUCUGUUGAUAACAUACAAAUCAAAGUAGACCACCGGCAACAAGACUGACAACUUAAUGUUGUUGCUUUUACCACCUAAAACUUAUUAUUUAUUUAUUUAUUUUUUAGUCACAUGGUACUACUAAAAUGUUUUUUUUUUUUUUUCCAGAACCUGCGCUCAACCAAGUAGCAGCAAAGUCUGGUCUCUGAAUUCUCAGUAAUUCAUACAAAACUGUCAAAAACAGGAUGUGAUGUCCAGACAUAUUGACUUGAUGGCUGUUGCUCUUGGGCCAUAUUGUGUUGCAAGCAGGGGUGAAAGUAAGCUGGUACGCAGCGGUAUGCCAUACCGGGAAGACAUAAACAGCAGUUUACAGCCGGUACGCAACAGUACGCAAACUUUCACCCCUGCAGUGUAUGUAGACUACAUUUGUUGCCGCACGUCCGUCUGCACUCUGCAUUGUAGUAAUCCAAUAGGAUCAUACUGCUUGCGAGUGAGCUUCUGCAAACAAACUCUGAGAAAUGGGAGCGCUCAGUGUGCACUUUUGAUUGGACGCUGGUUGUCUAGGCGCUGGUGACUGCAUCCUGCCUUUUGCGGAAGGAGGGAGCUUUUAAAGAGACAGCUGCGAGAAAAAAAUGAUUUUAUGUACAAGAGAAAGAGGGAUGGAGCAGAUGAUGAUACUGCGGCACUUCAUUAACCUUGAGUGUGCUCCUCUUGUACAAAGCCUACAGGUACAGUACCUGCAAGAACCUUAUCCAACUUCCCCCCCUGGUUCCAAGGGAGUUCAGUCACAUCAUAAUAAUACUUAUAAACUUCCAACCCAAGGCAACGGCUGAAGUUCUGUGUGAUGUUCUCCAUAAAACAGUUGCUAGGAUACAGACUUGACAUCCUUUUUAUUGAAAAAAAAAAAAGGAAAGCUGGUGGACUCCAGACAAACGGAUAUCCUUUUGGAGAUCCAUGAUCCAUAAAGUUAUUGUAUUGUAUUGUAUUGCAUUGUAUUGUACGGGAGGCAAUCUCCCAUGUCCACUAGGGGGCGCCAAUAUUGACACACUGAAAAUCUUACAGGAGCUUCAAUUUUUUUUUUUGUUGAGAUGCAAUUAUUCACUUUCUCAAACUCUGAAGUCUGUUCAAACUAACCAACACCCUUACUUUACCAUUUGCUUUAAAUGCAGUAGAGUUGAUAAAUAUUGGUGCUGGCAGGGGCAUGCGUCUGACCUACUCUCUAACUAACAAGCUACAUGCAUAUCUGCAACUUAGCUUAAAAACCAGUGUAAACCUUGUCAGGAAGAUUUCCUGCAACUGUAACUAAAUGUUACAUGCACACUGCUUUGUUUUUGAUGCUGCUAUCUCUCGUCUCCCCCACCACUAAAAGUGCUUUCACGUAACGUAUCACAUUCACCCAUCUACAUCCCAUUCUUGGACUGAUGGCAAACACGUAAACAACCUUCAGUAAUGACUCAGCAAGACCUGGAAUCAAACCUCUGAGCCACAGCAGCCCCCAAGUAGUUUAAUAUAAAAGGCUAAUCUGUCUCUAAAGUUAGACAAGCAGAUUACAUUUCAAAGUUUGUUCUGAACCUGCUGUUAAUAAUUUAAUAUUUCAUCAUUCAUACAGCUCUACAGACAGCCAGCUGGCUUUCAAAUCCCUUGGUCACGAAUCCUGUUUUUAUAUUGACUUGCAAAGGUUUGUGUUACCUCUGUUUGGAGCAUUUAAGAUCCUUGAAACAUCAACAAACAUCCCAAACGAUAAAACCUGACUCAUUUGGUUCAGCAUGGGGUACAAGAACUGCAUGCAGCGAAGAGAUUUCUGCUUUUGUGUUCUUCGUAUCCAUAUCGCUCUUGCAGGUUUAGAGUGAUUGUGGUUGGAGAAAUGGAGGAGUUUUAACAUAAAUAUUGGAGAGGGGCUGAUCCAGUGGGAGUUUUUGUACCAGGUUGGUAUUUGUACUUGUUUUGUCAGUUGAUUUGAUGUAUGGAUGUUAAUAUUACUCAGGGUAUAGUCUGAAUAUGAUGAUGUAAUCGAUGUUUGAAAAGCAAUGUUGGGCUUUAUUUGAAGGGACACACUAUAACACCCGAGAGGAAACUUACUGUGAAGUAAUGAUUCAUCUUGGAGAGGUGAAACCUCAGUAUGAUCAAGUAGAAUGAGUAUUGAUUACUAAUUAGUUGUAUGUUAUUUUUAGGCUGAGUCUAAGUCAGUGCUGCAGGUGGUUUUGAAGAACCUCUGACAGUGCCUGCAUAUACUCUAUAUAGAGCAGAAGUACGGUUUUAUUCCAACUCUAAUCCAGUUAAUGUUUUGUUUCAGGCCCUGGAAACCCUGAAUCUAUUUGAAAUCACAUCAUUGAACUGACUUAAGACCUCAUUACUCUUCACGUUGUAUGAGAACCGAUUAGAUACAGUAUAUUAAUGAUAUCCGUUUUUGUUAAUAGCAUAAUGGAUCACUUCUCUUCAGUGUUUCUGAGACUCCACUUAACUGGGUCUAACUGGAACCACAAUGAUCACCAGUUAUGUUUUAUAUACAUACUGCAAUCCGUCUUCAGUAUGCAUCAGGUUUCUAUGGGCAAGUUUGGUUAUGACAAUGACUGAAUGGUGAAUCUGACUAUUUUAGUAUCACAGAAUCAGUUUAUCCAGGUAUGAUCACUCUAUAGGAUCAUAUACCAUCUGUUUAUUCCUCUGUGAUGUUGCUCCAUGGUGAAAAGCAUACAUAAUAAUCAGCUGGCUUACACCCACAUGGGCCUGAUUUGAGACUUUCAUUCAGGCAUCUGUGGAAGCAAAACAGAGUCUAAUCUUUAAACCUAGGAAGCUUUGUUUGUGAUAACAAUAGUAAACUUUUAUGACUUUAAUAUCAAUGAAGUCUUGCAGGUUCAGUGCAUAUGUUUCCGUGGUUUUAAACACAAGAUUUUAACUUGAUGUAAAAAGACAAAAUAAAAAACAAACAAAUAACUAAGAUUUGUGUGAGAAUUUCUUCAGUGCUGAUUAGAGCCAAGUUGAUGAUGCAUCACUAGCUAAAAUUUACAUGCCUGAAAUCACUGCAAUUAUUGUGACAGUCACUUUGUUUCAGUCACUUCUGAAGAAGACACUUGUCUGAUGAGCAGCAGUCAUUUGGACUGCUAAACCCCUGGGAUACACAGACUAUCUCCCUCAUUAGAGAGCUAUCCUAAACUCAUGUUAAAAUAUGAUCUGUUUCAUUACUUUGGGGUCUUCCCAGAAGGAUGAAAAAUAUAGCGUAUGGUUCAAUAUAAUACUUACAAGAAACCUUUAAACCCCUAAACUAUCAACUAAUACGUGAAUGUAUUAUGAAUAAAAUAAUUAAAGCUCCUGUAAGGAGUUUGUGAUCGGUCAUGAAACAGACUGAAAUAAACAGUGAUGCAUCUCAAUGCUGCACAAAAGCAAAUGAGACCAUUGUUGACAAGACUGACAAUCUCAGUUUUCUCAUUUUUAAUGCCUGUAACUGCUGCAAGAGGG